UACACCUGGAAACCCUGCAAUUCGGUAGA
rnacentral:piRNA from 1 species